UUGUCUCAAGGUUUUGAGUUCGAGUCCCUGUUGGGCGUUUUAGAAAACAUUUUAGUUAUUUCUGAUUUCAGUUAAAAUAAUUAUUGUAUUUAUUUGUCUUUAGUGUUAUUAUUAAUUAUUUUUAUUUUUAUUUGCUUUUACUUGGCACAUUAUUUUUUUGUUCUUUUUCUUCUUGGUUUUUGUUCUCAUGUUCUUCUUUUUGCUUUUUGGAAUCGGUGGUGUUGUGGGGUCGAAGGACCUUGAUUUUCUGCUCCUUUGUCGUCUUCUUCGUCAUCAAAAUAGGUGUG
rnacentral:lncRNA from 1 species